UCGCUCGGUCACCCGGCUCGGCCGCCCCCCGCUUCCCGACCCCUUCCUGCAGGUGGCAGCGGGAUGCCCGUGGAAACCCCCUCAAUGCGAGGCAUCAGCCGAGCCCAGUGCCCGCACACCGGGGGCGCAGCGCAGCAGGCGGCUUCGUCGCCCGCCCAGGAGACACUGCGACUCCUUUGGGGUGAUAUGGUCUUUUCAGCCAGGAAAAGAGGACACUGAAGGGAGACAUCAUCCCGUGUUUACAACUUCUCGUGAAGAGAAGAGGAAAGGCAAGCACUGAUCUCUUCUCUGCAGCGACCAGCGACAGCACUUGAGGAAAUGGCCUGGAGUUAUAUCAGGGGAGGUUUAGAUUGGAUAUCAGGAAAAGGUUCCGCACGCAGAGGGUGGCUGGGCACUGGAACGGGCUUCCUAGGGAAGUAAUCACAGCACCAAGCCUGACAGAGCUCGAGAAGUCCUUAGACAAUGCACUCAGGCAGUUGGUGUGACUGUUGAGGAUGGUCCUGUGCCGGGUCAGGAGUUGGACUUGAUAAUCCUUGCGGGUCCCUUCCGGCUCAGCAUAUUCUCUGAUUCUGUGACUUUGGACUCACUGCCCCCAAGCCAGGCACUGCUCAGAGGGCUAGUGUUGUUGGGGUGAAAUCCAUGUUUGAUGCCCUUCAGGGCCUUUUAUUGGGACUGGCACCAUCUGGCUCCACAAUGUCACUUCCCAGUCUUUCCCACUAAAUUCAGCCCUGCUUGUUUGGUAAGACAGAGGUGUUUGUACACACCCUGACUGUCCAUGGGGAAAGGCAGUUCACCCCAUGUGUGUAAGUACAGCCCUGACUACGGGACUGGCUCUAGAUGUGGGUCAUUCCUCCUUUCUGUAAUAGAUCUGUGAGUGUUGAGUAGCAUCGAGACUUGCAAAGUAUGCCUAAGCUUAAAACUACUACAAGUAUUUCAUUAUCCAUAAUUCUUUAAGUUUUUAUACCAUAUACAUUUAUGUAUGUUGACAUUAGGUUUAGUCUUUCAGUUCUAAUGGGAUGGUGGAUUUGAUUUCCUAGGGCUUCAGGAGUUUACAUCACAUUUAUUUUAACUGUAAGUGUACUCAGAAAGGAGUGGCCCUUGCAUAGUUUCUGACAAAAAUCCAUAUUUUCUAAAAAAUAGCUACAGUGGAAUGAAAACUUCCUUUGGAAGUGAUCUUGAUCCCAGUUGAAAUGUUGUUGCUCUACUUUCUAUUUCAGUUGAGUUGCAAGAACAAGCUGUCAGUACAACUUCCCAUUAAAAAUAAUUGCUGAGAUGCAGCAUGAAUGUUACUGCUGGUUUGUAGCACUGCUGCAGCUCACAGCAUGCUGGGAGUCACUGCAGGGCUGCUUCCAUGUGCCUAUUGUCAUCUAAUGGGGUUCCAUAGGUGCAGUCUUGAGGAUUUCUGUACUAAUGUUUCACUUGGUCACAAAGGAAAGAGAAAGGCAACAGAAACUGUGAGAACUAAGCCCAUGAGCCUACAUUAAAAAUCUCCUUUAUUCCAUUAAUGUGGCAUUUCAAACAGCUGUCCAGCUGAGCAGAUGACUUAUUAUAUGUUCAAGGGUUUUGUCAUGUGAAAGUUGCAAAUUGGAUACUGGUUGUGCAAUAAUUUUAACACUCUCAUAAAAACUGACAGAGUCAAAUUGUUUAGGUUUCAUUUUAUUUCAGUAAAUGUGUCUUUAAUAAUUAGCACAAGUGGCAGUAGGACCCUCUUUUUUUUUUUUUUUUUUUUUU